rnacentral:tRNA from 1 species
GCUUAAAUAGCUCAGUUGGUUAGAGUAUGAUGCUGAUAAUGCCCAAGGUUGCUGGUUCGAUCCCUGUAUGCA